rnacentral:rRNA from 1 species
AUUGAACGGUGGCGGAAUGCUUUACACAUGCAAGUCGAACGGUAGAGGGGGCAACCCCUUGAGAGUGGCGAACGGGUGAGUAAUAUAUCGGAACGUGCCCAGUCGUGGGGGAUAACGUAGUGAAAAUUACGCUAAUACCGCAUACGAUCUAAGGAUGAAAGCGGGGGAUCGCAAGACCUCGCGCGACUGGAGCGGCCGAUAUCAGAUUAGGUAGUUGGUAGGGUAAAGGCCUACCAAGCCAACGAUCUGUAGCUGGUCUGAGAGGACGACCAGCCACACUGGAACUGAGACACGGUCCAGACUCCUACGGGAGGCAGCAGUGGGGAAUUUUGGACAAUGGGCGAAAGCCUGAUCCAGCCAUUCCGCGUGCAGGAUGAAGGCCCUCGGGUUGUAAACUGCUUUUGUACAGAACGAAAAGGUCUCUAUUAAUACUAGGGGCUCAUGACGGUACUGUAAGAAUAAGCACCGGCUAACUACGUGCCAGCAGCCGCGGUAAUACGUAGGGUGCAAGCGUUAAUCGGAAUUACUGGGCGUAAAGCGUGCGCAGGCGGUUAUAUAAGUCAGAUGUGAAAUCCCCGGGCUCAACCUGGGAACUGCAUUUGAGACUGUAUAGCUAGAGUACGGUAGAGGGGGAUGGAAUUCCGCGUGUAGCAGUGAAAUGCGUAGAUAUGCGGAGGAACACCGAUGGCGAAGGCAAUCCCCC